UACGAAGGGGGCAAGCGUUGUUCGGAAUUACUGGGCGUAAAGGGCGCGCAGGCGGCUGAUCAAGUCAGAUGUGAAAGCCCCGGGCUCAACCUGGGAAUAGCAUUUGGGACUGGUCGGCUAGAGUCCGGGAGAGGAGAGUGGAAUUCCCAGUGUAGAGGUGAAAUUCGUAGAUAUUGGGAAGAACACCGGUGGCGAAGGCGGCUCUCUGGACCGAUGCUGACGCUGAGGCGCGAAAGCGUGGGGAGCAAACAGG
rnacentral:rRNA from 1 species